CACUGACAGAAGCACAACAGCGCCAGCAGCCCUGCCUGGUCAUGUGACUGACAUCCAGUCGGUAUGGAAGGAGAGGAGGGACAAAACUUGAUUUUGCGGUUGGCGCUCCAUCAGGAAACUUCUCCGCAAUGUCAUGGGGCUCAGGAGGGUGGGCUCACCCCAUCUGGUUCUUCUGAGCACAUACUGUAUAGCCUAAUGCGGUUUCUGGUCACGAAGCAGCAGCGCUGAAUGUAUCAGAGAUGAUUCCAGUCAUUGUGGAUAUGUGGAGAGAAACGUGUUUGGAAAAAUGAGGUCUGUGGAGAGGAAGAGACUCAGAGAGGGAAAGUUGUGUAGAAACAGACUUGUUAUUCAUCUGCCUGCCCUCGAUGCUUCCCGCCCAGAAAGAAGACAUUCAAACAGUUUUCUAGUUGCAGUUCAAUCUUUAUUGCCUGUGAAAACAUCUGUGUGCAAACAAAAUCCGUUGAACUUUUAUUUUUGGUGUCUAAGUCUAAUUGUCGGUUCAUGACAACUGAACUUUGUUUCCAUGCCCAGUGACAAGUGCAAAACAUUCAUAUUGUGCACAACAACAGUAAUUAUUGCAGUAUUACUGUGUGAUUUACGUAUUUAUAAUAUAAAGCAGUCGACAUGGGAAAAAUGCUAUAGAGGAUUUUUACUAAUGGAAAGUGAGAUUAAAAAUAGGCUUUCUGUGGAGUUCCACAUUACUGCCACAGUUACAUUGAUACCAAUUACACUUACCACAUCCUCAAAAGUUGAUUCUGUUCAUCUGGACGUAGCAUUUUCAGUGGGAGAAACGUUUUG